AGUACUACACAAAUGCCCGCACAGGUUGCCACUGCAUACCAAGGGUACUGUCCACUGCAUCUCACAUAAGAACAAGGUACUGCAACAGCCUCGGUUUCAGAGGACCUCAGCUCUUUAAUGCCCUGCCAAAACAAUUGAGAGCCCUACAAGACAUGGAUAUAGAGGUCUUCAAAACAAAACUCGACACAUUCCUAUCCACAAUCUCAGACGAACUGAUGGCUCGAAAUGAGACACAGUUGAGGGCAGCGAUGUCAAAUUCUCUUAUACACCAGAUGUGCCAUCGAAAUUCUUGAUUGGACUACAUCAGGUGGCAGGAAAGAGCCAUGCAAGAAACAUGCAGAGAGCACAGCAUAAGGAAGAAAAGUCAUGGUGGUGCUCCAGCAUGACCGCAGCCACUUGGCUGAAACUCAUAAAUAAAUAAAUAAAUAAAUAUAUAUGUAUACAGGCAUGUGUGUGUGUGUGUGUG